rnacentral:ribozyme from 14 species
AUAGAGAAAGGAUGAUACUUGAGAAGGAAUUAAAAAAAAAAAAAAAGGAAACGUCUGGCCGGCUCAAGUCAUAUGUGUGUGUGUGUCU